CGGCGUGUUGUAUUUGGGUUUGAAAAGCAUAGAUUUUGACAAGUAUUUAUUUGUUUCUUUGUAGUUAGUGUAAGAGAAAUAAACACGGCACCUAACCAUGUUUCGUUACAAAGUGUCCAGAAAAUCAAACAUGUUACAUCAUCGUAUUUCGUUAAAAAGUUAUCCAUAAGAUAAAAUUUGAUAUACAUUCAAUUUCUUGUAUGCAUUCACUCGUGAUCAGCAAGGACGGUCUAGGUCCUAUGUUCUAAACAAAAUUAAGGUUAUGCUCUCCAACUUAGAGGAACUGCGACAGUAUUCACUCAGUUUUGGAAAACUGUUGGAUAGUGACCAUAAAGUUCAAGGAGGGUCUCAUAACUUAGCGACACUGAAAGGUAUUGUCAUAAAUCAAAGAGUCUAUUAUCAUCGUCUAUGUCUAGCAGUUUUGUUCAUUUGAAAAGCUUAGAUAUCAGUAUAUGUGAUGUCAUGGAAGAGGCAGUUUCCAUUGACAGAUCAGAAGGUCGAGGAAGGAUUGGAUAUAUUUUGUUAACUAAACUUGAAUCUCUUAAGCUACAUGGAGUAUUUGCAAAUCUUAAAAGAUUUUGUCAAGGAGAUUAUACUGAUUACCCAUUAUUGAAUACUCGAACAAGUGACAAUGGGAAAAUGUAUGAUGAAGUUGAAGAAAUGGACAUGGUCAUGUGGUAAACAACUUCUCUUCAAUUAUAAUGUGAUCAUUAAAUGGACUUGUUUUUCUUGCUUAUUUAUUAUUCUUUUUUUGGUAUUGUACAUUCUUAUUUAUUAAAGGAAAAAAUAUGAGAAAUGUGUGCAUACAUGCAGGUUAUUCUCUCAAACUUUAAGCAAUUGCAAUUACACACACUCAACGUUAAAACAGCAUGGGAUAUUGACAAGUCUAAAGGAAGAUGGUUUCAUAACUUGACAACGUUGGAAGUGCUUUAUUGUUGUAGAUUGAAGACUGUGAUGUCAUCAUCUAUGGCUACAAGUCUUGUGCAUCUGAAAAUUAUGAGAAUAGAUUAUUGUGAUGCAGUUGAAAAGGUAAUCACAGACGAAUCAGGAGAAAGAAGGUUGGGAAAAAUUUUGUUUCCUAAUGUUAAAACUCUGGAGCUGAAAUGGCUUAAGAAAAUCAAAUGGUUUUAUACAGGAGAUUAUAUUGAAUGUCCAUCUUUGGUUUAUCUUGGAAUAAAUAAAUGGCAGUGAGAACAUGAAAACCUUCAUAAACAAUGUCGACUUGGUGGGGAAAACGACAAUCUUUCUUCAGCCAAAACAUGACUUUCCUAAUUUUCGUUUCAUGAUUCCUCUGUUUUGCAUAUUUGUCUAUCGAAUGUUAAAGUAUUUAGAUUGUUUAAAUUAAAUUGUUUCAUUCUUAACCGUAUGUCUAAAAGUGCUAAGAGUUUAUUUUGAUGACCAGGUGGUCAUGCCUCUAACAAGUUAGCCGUACCAAGUAUUAAAGGGAAUAAAUUUUUGAGUAAGAUAUGGGAUGAUGAAGAACAACUUAAGUCACUCACAAAUUUAAGAUAGUUGAGUUUGAUAAAUCUUCCAGAGUUGAUGAAUCUGUGUAAAGACAGCGUAGCCCAACCAUCCAAAUUACAAGCCUUUGAAGCUGUGGAAACUCUGCGUGUUUAUAAAUGUUUUAAACUAAACUCUCUAAUGAUGACUUCCUCAAUGACUUUUGGAAAUCUGAAAUGCUUGCUUGUUUCAGAAUGUCAUUCAUUGACAAAUACAAUGGCUUCUUCAACUGCAAAAAGUCUAAAACAACUCAGGAAAAUGAACAUAUCUCAUUGUGAUGGAAUGACAGCAAUUAUCAGCCAGGAAAAAGAAUUUGAAGACGAAGAUGAAGAUCAAAAUGAGGUUGCUUUCAGCAAAUUGUAUGGUAUUCUACUUUUUCAAAUGCACAAUCUGAAAAGCUUCUGUAAUGGGAAAAAUGCUAUAAGCUUUCCAAGUUUGGACAUAUUACUGGCAAAUCGAUGCAACAGAAUGAAAAGCUUUUGUGGCGGUACUGUUACAUCCCCAUUAUCUUUAAAGUAGUAGAAUACAUUGGUUGGGAUGAAACGACUAUGAAUCAAUAUUUUGUAGGAGACAGAGGUACAGUUGAAUAUCAGCUUUUGAAGGGUGAUGUUAAUGCAACUUUUUCUAAGUUUUAUGAAGACAAUCCAGACCAUUGUCGGAAGUCGGAGUGAGUCUAUAUUGGAUUUCCAAAUUGUUUUCCUCUCUCAAUAGAAGUCUGCAAAAUUUGAAGUUUUGGACCGGAUCUAGGUCAGGUGAUUGAUAGGAUGAGAAGAAAUGGUUGCUUGUCCUGCAUAAAUUGCACGUUAAUGUGGGAGUAGAUCCUUCAGUUUCUCGAGAUAUUGGGCUGAACCGACUUGGACCUACAAAUUCAGUUCAGGGCUUCAUGUCUAGCCCAAAGGGGAAUAAGGCCAUGAAGCCGAGAACAAGGCCAGGUUUCAGGCUUGGGCUGCAAGGGAACAAACAAAGAAAAAAGAAAAAUCAAAAAAAAAAUUAUUAUGAAUAUAUAUAUAUAUAUAUAUAUAUAUAUAUAACGAAAGUAGGGAUAAGUAAGCAAACAUAAAGAUCGCAAAAGUCAGGUCUAAAAACAAAAACAAAAAAGAAAAGCAAAAAGGAAAGCAAAAAGAAAAAAGAAUAAAGAAUGAAGAAUGAAAUGGCAUGUACUUUAUCAAUUUGAAUGAUUAUUUGAUUACUCAGAGCUUGUAUGGGAAAGCAAAAGACAAUGCUGGAAACAAUAUGCAGCAAUUAGCGGUUGUUUGAGUACUUACUAUCGCAAUUUGCUUCGUCUCGGGUGGUUUUUAUUUAUUUAAUUUUUUUUUUAAUAAUAAUAUGCAUAUGUAUGGGUUUAGAUUUAA